ensembl:lncRNA
CUGAAUAAUAAUGUUCACUGGUUACUGUUUGAGUAGUUCUUCUGGCUCCUAAAUGCAAAUAUGUAACAAUAACAACUGUUUCAGGUAGAAUUCAGGACUUCACAUAUCCCUUCAUGUCCCUUCGUAACCCUUCAAAAUAUUCUUCCUGCUUGACAAUAUUAAUUAAUUUUUUUUAUAGCUAAUUGCCUUCAGCGCAAACCUCUGAGUUAUCAGUAUUUUCAUUCUUCAUUUCAGGUCUAUGUCGCUCUGUAAAACCACCGCUCGCUACGCAGCUUCCCUUCGUCCUUUCUGUAUGUCCUGCUGAGGAAUUUGGAUGAAAGGAAAGGAGGCAGAGCAGCCUCGAAGGGAGGGCAAAAAAGAGAGAGGAAGAAGUGAUAGAGGAAAAGAGGGAGGAGAAGUGACAGCAGGGACAGAAAAUAGAGGUAGGAGGGUGUCCUUGUUAGCUUGUCAUCCUGUUGUAACCCUGAGGCCAGUGAUGUGACUGGAAUGUGAAUUCAUCAUAAAAGGACCGACUCUACCUGAGGACUUCCUGCUUCCCCAAGAAACUCAGCACGCGCUCAUCGUCAGACGGCACCGACUCAGCGCCUCGUCUCUGCAGCGUUCAUGCAGCAACGUGGAGCCUUCAGAAAACUCCCUGAUCGCUGAAAGAUGAAGGUUUGCACCUGCGUCGCCUCCAGCGACCUUAAUAUAAUCGAACCCAGCGAC